rnacentral:sRNA from 1 species
CAAGAAGACCAUGACGUGUUACCUGAACAAAUCAAAGCAGUGC